rnacentral:SRP_RNA from 1 species
GCCAGGCGCAGUGACUCACGCCUGUAAUCCCAGCUACUCGGGAGGCUGAGGCAGGAGAAUUGCUUGAACCUGGGAGGCGGUGGUUGCAGUGAGCUGAGAUCGCACCACUGCACUCCAGCCUGAGCAACAAGAGCAAAAACUCUGUANNNNNNNNNNGUGUUUCCCUUGAGCUUUUUUUUUUUUUUUUUUUUUCCUUAGUACAGAGUUUUUGCUCUUGUUGCUCAGGCUGGAGUGCAGUGGUGCGAUCUCAGCUCACUGCAACCACCGCCUCCCAGGUUCAAGCAAUUCUCCUGCCUCAG